rnacentral:rRNA from 1 species
AACGAACGCUGGCGGCAUGCCUAACACAUGCAAGUCGAACGAGACCUUCGGGUCUAGUGGCGCACGGGUGCGUAACGCGUGGGAACCUGCCUUUAGGUUCGGAAUAACAGUGAGAAAUUACUGCUAAUACCGGAUAAUGUAUUCGGUCCAAAGAUUUAUCGCCUUUAGAUGGGCCCGCGUAAGAUUAGCUAGUUGGUGGGGUAAAGGCCUACCAAGGCGACGAUCUUUAGCUGGUCUGAGAGGAUGAGCAGCCACACUGGGUCUGGGUCACGGCCCAGACUACUAGGGGAGGUAGCAGUGGGGAAUAUUGGACAGUGGCCGAAAGCCUGAUCCAGCAAUGCUGGGUGAGUGAUGAAGGCCUUAGGGUUGUAAAGCACAUUUACCCGAGACGGUAAUGACAGUAUCGGGAGAAUAAGCUCCGGCUAACUCCGUGCCAGCCGCCGCCGUAAAAC